UGGUAGUCCGCACGAGCGCAACCCUCGUUCUAUGUUGCCAGCACGUAAUGGUGGGGACUCGAUAGGAGACUGCCGGGGUCAACUCGGAGGAAGGUGAGGACGACGUCAAAUCAUCAUGCCCCUUAUGUCUUGGGCUUCACGCAUGCUACAAUGGCCGGUACAAUGGGUUGCGAUACUGUGAGGUGGAGCUAAUCCCAAAAAGCCGGUCUCAGUUCGGAUUGGGGUCUGCAACUCGACCCCAUGAAGUCGGAGUCGCUAGUAAUCGCAGAUCAGCAACGCUGCGGUGAAUACGUUCCCGGGCCUU
rnacentral:rRNA from 1 species